UUCCCACUCGUUAUCUCUGUCUCACUCCUUGGACGACUCUUAUUUUUACCCCAUCCCCAUCAACCCCUUUCCCGAACCCAACUCCGUUUCCUUGCCCCCCAAGCUUCGAAUUUUCCCCCGGUUCAAUUCUCUGAGAAGUGUUUAAGAGGAUUUGUUGUCGUCGUCGGUGGUGAUCAUGCCGACGAUGGACUACCAGGGUUCGUCCCUCCCCUUUGCCUCCAUCGGGCGUUCCAUCCUCAGCAUCCGCCGCGACCAGGUGCACACCGUUCACGCCGGCCGACACCAUGACCCCGCCGCCAUCGACCUCGAUGAUCUCGAUGCCCUCCAGAAGCGCGUUGCCGACCUCUUCCUUGACCUCUCUUCCUCUGACGACGAUCUGCUCUCCCUCGCCUGGGUCCGCAAGCUGCUCGACGGCUUCCUCGUCUGCCAGGAGGAGUUUCGCGGGAUCCUCUUCGACUGCAGCCAGGGCCGGCGGGUGAACCUCUCCCGGCCCCCCCUUGACCGCCUCCUCUCCGACUACUUUGACCGCGCCGUCAAGGCCCUCGACGUCUGCAAUGCCGUCCGCGACGGCAUCGACCAGCUCCGUCGGUGGCGCCGGCACCUCGAGAUCGCCCUCGCCGCUCUCAGCGGCGGCGGCCGGACCCUCGGCGAGGGCCAGCUCCGCCGCGCCCGCAAGGCCCUCACUGAACUCGCCAUCCUCAUGAUCGACGAGAAGGAGGCCGGCGGCGGGUCCGUCCUGACCCUCCGCAAUCGCUCCUUCGGCCGCGCCGGCAAGGAGCCGCCCCACCACCGCCGAGCCGGCAGCGGUGGGGCCGCCGUAUCCUCCUCGGGGCACCACCGUUCCCUCUCUUGGAGCGUCUCCCGGUCGUGGUCCGCCGCGCGGCAGCUCCAAGCGAUCGGAAACAAUCUCACCCCUCCUAGGGGCAACGAGGUUACCGCCACCAACGGCCUCGCCGUCCCCGUCUUCACCAUGAGCUCUGUGCUCUUCUUCGUGAUGUGGGCGCUCGUGGCGGCGAUCCCGUGUCAGGACCGCGGCCUCCAGACCCACUUCUGGGUUCCCCGGAACUUCUCCUGGGCCGCCUCCAUCACAUCGCUUCACGACCGAAUCUUCGAGGAAUCAAAAAGGAAGGAGAGGAAGAGCUCAUGCGGGAUGCUAAAGGAGAUCCACCAUAUGGAGAAGUGCAUCCGCCACCUGACAGAGUUGCUGGACCCGGUUGACUUCCCAUGGACGGAGGGGAAGGAGACGGAGCUGAGGCAGGGGGUGGAAGAGCUAGCAGAGGUCUGCAACACCAUGAAAGACGGCUUAGAACAACUGGAGCGCCAGGUGCGGGAGGUCUUCCUUAGGAUGGUGAGGAGCCGAACGGAAGGCCUCGACUGCCUCAGCAAAUCCCACCAUCCCGAGUGAAUUGUCACCGGGAAGUGCCAAAUCCGCAGCUUUCGGCGAUGCUGCGUCUACAAAUCGAUCCUCGAAGAAGGCAAGAUUGAAGAUAAGAUGAUGAACCAAGUGUCUUCUUCCGAUGAUAAAGCAGGAGGUGUGGCAUCUGCUGAGAUCCCGGUAACGGUGGAAGAUGCCAAGAUAAAAUUUGACUUGGCCCAUUACUUGAUAUUCCAAAGCUGCUUAGCCAGCAGUAUGCUUGUGGACUUUUGUCAUAUAUCUCUAUCUGAGCUGCAAAUUCACAUGUCUACGUUGAAGAAACCGGAGGAAAGCUAAGGUCAACAUUGGAUGGCAAAAACUAGGUUUAUUUGCAUGUGCCAAUAUGCCCCAAGAAUUGAAUAUAUGACAUUAGUGUAGGCAACCUGAAUCCAAGUGUUUGUUUCUUUGGUGACAUGCACAGAAGAACUAGUGUGAAAGAUCAAGAAGAAGCAAAAGGCAAUGUUCUAUGUAUGUAAUUAGGGUUCUUUGGUUCUCUGCAAAUGAAUCAUUUGUAUAUCUGCAUAUGUAUUCCCAUAAAUUACAAAAUAUCAUGAC